AUUGAACGCUGGCGGCAUGCCUUACACAUGCAAGUCGAACGGUAACAGUUUAAGCUGGCGAUUGGCGAACGGGUGAGUAAUGUAUCGGAACGUGGCCAGUCGUGGGGGAUAACUGCUCGGAAGAGCAGCUAAUACCGCAUACAACCUGAGGUUGAAAGCGGCAGAUCGCAAGGCCGUGCGCUAUUGGAGCUGCCGAUUUCAGAUUAGGUAGUGGCUGAGGUAAAGGCUCACGAAGCCGAGGAUCUGUAGCUGGUCUGAGAGGAGGACUAGCCACACUGGGACUGAGCCACGGCCCAGAGUACUGCGGGAGGCAGCAGUGGGGUAUUUUGGACAAUGGGCGCAAGCCUGAUACAGACAUGCCGCGUGAGGGAAGAAGGCGUUAGGGUUGUGAAACGGUCUUGUAAGGGAAGAAAAGGUUCUAGCUAAUAACUGGGAAUCAUGACGGUACCUGAAGAAUAAGCACCGGCUAACUACGUG
rnacentral:rRNA from 1 species